rnacentral:rRNA from 1 species
UAAAAAAAUGGACUUGG